rnacentral:sRNA from 1 species
GCUAGGUGCAGUGAUGCAUGCCUGUAAUCCUAGUGGCUGGGAGGCUGAGACAGGAGGAUCAUGAGUUCAAAGCCAGCCUAAGCAAAAAGCAAAGUGCUAAGCAACUCAGUGAGACCCUGUCUCUA